AUGCAGAUCUUGGAGAAUGUUGGAGAGGACAUUAAAUGUGAACAACUCAAUUUCGUUGCGGAAGGUGAAAUUACAUCUCCCCACGUUCCUGAUCCUGCUACCCCUAAAGCUAAUGUGAUGAGGAUGUCUACAGACCGUCCUAUCGAUUAUUUUGUUCACCAUAUUAUCGAAGGGGAUCUAUCUUCAACUAAAGUGAAGAAAAUUACCAAACGGGGAAAGAAAUCCACCGUAUGA